UAAACUAGAAGUUUCACUGUCUGACAGAUGUAUUGUGGUUGUGACAAUUCUUUUAUCAUUUAAUACUGAACACUAAACUAAAACGUAUGACUCAUUACAUUUUCUUUGGCUGAUUCAUGACAUUCACAAAAGAAAAUGUAACUUAUAAAACCUAAUUAUGAAACAAAACAUGAUUAAUGAAGAAUUCCAGUGAGUUAACACACACUUAUUCAUCUUCAAUACAGGAGAAGCUGCUGAAAGGAGAAGGCAAGAGUAUCUAGAAAGGUUGGAUAAGGGGCAUCUUAAAUGGAGGAGACAGGGUAAGAACAACUCAUUUUUUCUUGAACCGUUAUAACUGCAGUAAACUAGAAGUUUCACUGUCUGACAGAUGUAUUGUGGUUGUAACAAUUCUCUGAUCUCAACAAUUUCUGAGGUCCAUAAAACAUCCACCAAGGACCUGGAAACUCUCAAUAUAUUUAAUGGAAAUAUGACAAUAAUUAGUUAAUUUUUUAGUGUAAAAUCACAAAAAAAGAAAGAAGACAAUUACAGAAAGAGAAAAUAAUAACAACAUACAUUAUAUUAAAGAUACAUGAUACUAUUCAGUUAUAGGAGUGGCAAAAAUUGGAUUCAAGAAGUGAAGCGUCGACCAUGAACCACAACGUCCCUGAUUCAUGUUUGAUUAGGGACCUUUAUUGAUUGUUGUUCUCCAUCUCUCUCUAAAUGUAAAUGAAAUUACAGGACUUCUUUAUCUCUUGUGCUUAGUGGCAACAUCAGAAGACAACUUCCUAAUCAGAGCUGAAAAUGUAAAGUAGAGGUUCAUUGAUAAACACACUGAAAGGCACC